AUGGCUCAGAUUGAACGCUGGCGGCAUGCUUUACACAUGCAAAGUCGAACGGCAGCGGCGGGGGCAACCCUGGCGGCGAGUGGCGAACGGGUGAGUAAUGCAUCGGAACGUAUCCUGUAAUGGGGGAUAACGUAGCGAAAGUUACGCUAAUACCGCAUACGCUCGAGAGAGGAAAGUGGGGGAUCGCAAGACCUCACGUUAUAGGAGCGGCCGAUGUCCGAUUAGCUAGUUGGUGGGGUAAAGGCCUACCAAGGCGACGAUCGGUAGCUGGUCUGAGAGGAUGAUCAGCCACACUGGGACUGAGACACGGCCCAGACUCCUACGGGAGGCAGCAGUGGGGAAUUUUGGACAAUGGGCGAAAGCCUGAUCCAGCCAUGCCGCGUGCGGGAAGAAGGCCUUCGGGUUGUAAACCGCUUUAGUCCGGGAAAAAGGGGUGCGAGGAUAAUACCCUCGUGCUUUGAUGGUACUGGAAGAAUAAGCACCGGCUAACUACGUG
rnacentral:rRNA from 1 species